rnacentral:rRNA from 1 species
AGGGCGUAUGGUGGAUGCCUUGGCAGACAGUACCGAUGAAGGACGUUUGAGGCUGCGAUAUGCCUCGGGGAGCCGCCAGCAGGGCUUUGAUCCGAGGAUUUCCGAAUGGGGGAACCCGCCGGCCGUCAUGGGCCGGCACCGCGUUCGCGCGGGGGGUACGCAGGGAAGUGAAACAUCUCAGUACCUGCAGGAAAGGAUGUUCCGUGAGUAGUGGCGAGCGAAAGCGGAUCAGGCCAAACCGCGCGCGUGUGACAGGCGCCAGCCGUUGCGCGCGUGGUGUUGAGGGAGCGUGUGUCCGGGUCCUGGCGGGCCCGGCCGGAGUGAUAAAACGGCGUGUGAGGCGAACCGGAUUGAAUGCCGGGCCGCAGAGGGUGAUGGCCCCGUAGCCGAACGCGCGUCGUCUCCGGAUCGUGUCUCCCAAGUAGCGCGGGACUCGUGGAAUCCCGUGUGAAUCCGCCCCGACCGUGGGGUAAGCCUAGAUAUACCUGUCUGACCGAUAGCGAACUAGUACCGUGAGGGAAAGGUGAAAAGCACCCCGGGAGGGGAGUGAAACAGUCUCUGAAACCGUGCGCUUACAAACCGUCGGAGCCUUUCGGGGUGACGGCGUGCCUAUCGAAAAAUGAGUCUGCGAGUCAGUGGCACGUGGCGAGCGUAACCCGUGUGGGGUACGCGUAGCGAAGGCGAGUCUCAAAAGGCGUUUGAGUCGCGUGUCCUGGACCCGAAGCGGGAUGAUCUAGCCCUGAGCAGGUUGAAGCGCGGGUAAGACCGCGUGGAGGACCGAACCCACCUGGGUUGAAAACCGGGGGGAUGACUUGGGGUUAGGGGUGAAAGGCCAAUCAAAUUCCGUGAUAGCUGGUUCUCUCCGAAAUGCAUUUAGGUGCAGCGUCGGGGAUUACGUCCGGGGGGUAGAGCUACUGGAUGCUUGAGGGCCCGUAUCGGGUACCGACAGCAGCCAAACUCCGAAUACCCGUGACGCGUAUCCCGGCAGUGAGUCGGCGGGGGAUAAGCUCCGUCGUCGAAAGGGAGACAGCCCAGAUCGUCGUCUAAGGUCCCCAAGCGCGUGCUAAGUGGGAAAGGAUGUGGAGUCGCAUAGACAGCCAGGAGGUUGGCUCAGAAGCAGCCACCCUUGAAAGAGUGCGUAACAGCUCACUGGUCUAGUGGUUCCGCGCCGACAAUGUAGCGGGGCUCAAGCACGCCACCGAAGACGCGGCAGCGUCCGUUUGGAUGCUGGGUAGGAGAGCGUCCCCAUCGGGGCGAAGCGGCGGCGCAAGCCUGCCGUGGACCGUUGGGGAGUGAGAAUGCAGACAUGAGUAGCGAGAGGCGGGUGCGAAUCCCGCCCGCUGGAUGACCAAGGGUUCCGGGGCCACGUUCGUCGUCCCCGGGUGAGUCGGGUCCUAAGGCGAGGCCGACAGGCGUAGUCGAAUGGAUGAACGGGCUGAUAUUCCCGUACCGGCAGCGAACCGAAACAACCGAGGCCUGGGGCGCUAACCUCCGGGUCCGUGCCGUCUCCCCUUUCGGGGGGUCGCGGCGCGGGCGCGUUGGGAUCCCCCCUCGUAGUAGGUCAGCGCAGGAGUGACGCAUCAGGGCAGCCGGCCGCGGAGGUGGUUUUCCGUGGUCAAGCGUUCGAGCCCGUCCCGCAGGCAAAUCCGCGGGGCGUCGGGGCGAGGCGUGAUGAUGGGGGCCUUACGGCCCGAAUCCGGUGAUCCGUGGUGCCGAGAAAAGCUUCGGCGUCAGGCGCGUUGCCGCCCGUACCCCAAACCGACACUGGUGGUCAGGUAGAGAAUACCAAAGCGAUCGAGCGAAUCCUGGUCAAGGAACUCGGCAAAUUGCUCCCGUGCCUUCGGCAUAAGGGAGACCCCCUGCGGUGAUGAGCGGCGGGGGGUGGCACAGGCCAGGGGGUAGCGACUGUUUACCAAAAACACAGGAGCGUGCGAAGGCGCAAGCCGCUGUAUACGCUCUGACGCCUGCCCGGUGCCGGAAGGUUAAGAGGAUCCGUCAGCUUUCUGCGAAGCGGUGAAUUCAAGCCCCGGUAAACGGCGGUGGUAACUAUAACCAUCCUAAGGUAGCGAAAUUCCUUGUCGGGUAAGUUCCGACCUGCACGAAUGGCGUAACGAUCUCCACACUGUCUCGGCCAGAGACUCGGUGAAAUUGCAGUCGCGGUGAAAAUUCCGUGUACCCGCAGAAAGACGGAAAGACCCUGUGCACCUUUACUAUAGCUUGACAUUGGAUUUUGGGCCUGCAUGUGUAGGAUAGGUGGGAGGCUGUGAACCCUGUACGCCAGUAUGGGGGGAGCCAUCCUUGAAAUACCACCCUUGCAUGUUUAAGAUCCUAACUUCUUCCGGUUAUCCCGGAGAAAGACAGUGUCUGGCGGGUAGUUUGACUGGGGCGGUCGCCUCCUAAAGUGUAACGGAGGCAUGCAAAGGUUCCCUCAGCCUGAUCGGAAACCAGGCGCUGAGUGCAAACGCAUAAGGGAGCUUGACUGUAAGAGAGACAUCUCGAACAGGAACGAAAGUUGGCGUUAGUGAUCCGGUGGUCCCGAAUGGAAGGGCCAUCGCUCAUUGGAUAAAAGGUACGCCGGGGAUAACAGGCUGAUCGCAUCCAAGAGUUCACAUCGACGAUGCGGUUUGGCACCUCGAUGUCGGCUCAUCACAUCCUGGGGCUGAAGCAGGUCCCAAGGGUACGGCUGUUCGCCGUUUAAAGUGGUACGCGAGCUGGGUUUAAAACGUCGUGAGACAGUUUGGUCCCUAUCUUCUGUGGGCGAAGGAGAAUUGAGAGGGCCUGUCCCUAGUACGAGAGGACCGGGAUGGACGCACCCCUGGUGAUCCUGUUGUCGCGCCAGCGGCAUAGCAGGGUAGCUAUGUGCGGAAGGGAUAACCGCUGAAAGCAUCUAAGCGGGAAGCCUGCCUCAAGAUAAGUUCUCCCCUCGAAAGAGCUGAAGGGCCCGGGUAGACUACCCGGUCGAUAGGCUGGAGGUGUAAGCGCGGCGACGUGCUCAGCUGACCAGUACUAAUAGCCCGAGUGGCUUAUUU